GCGCACGCUGGCGGCGUGCUUAACACAUGCAAGUCGCACGGAAAGGCCCUGCUUUUGUGGGGUGCUCGAGUGGCGAACGGGUGAGUAACACGUGAGUAACCUGCCCUUGACUUUGGGAUAACUUCAGGAAACUGGGGCUAAUACCGGAUAGGAGCUCCUGCUGCAUGGUGGGGGUUGGAAAGUUUCGGCGGUUGGGGAUGGACUCGCGGCUUAUCAGCUUGUUGGUGGGGUAGUGGCUUACCAAGGCUUUGACGGGUAGCCGGCCUGAGAGGGUGACCGGCCACAUUGGGACUGAGAUACGGCCCAGACUCCUACGGGAGGCAGCAGUGGGGAAUAUUGCACAAUGGGCGGAAGCCUGAUGCAGCAACGCCGCGUGCGGGAUGACGGCCUUCGGGUUGUAAACCGCUUUCGCCUGUGACGAAGCGUGAGUGACGGUAAUGGGUAAAGAAGCACCGGCUAACUACGUG
rnacentral:rRNA from 1 species